rnacentral:rRNA from 1 species
UACGGGGGGGGUAAGCGUUGUUCGGAAUUACUGGGCGUAAAGAGCUCGUAGGCGGUCUGUCGCGUCUGCUGUGAAAACUCGGGGCUUAACCCCGGGCCUGCAGUGGGUACGGGCAGACUAGAGUGCGGUAGGGGAGACUGGAAUUCCUGGUGUAGCGGUGAAAUGCGCAGAUAUCAGGAGGAACACCGGUGGCGAAGGCGGGUCUCUGGGCAGUAACUGACGCUGAGGAGCGAAAGCGUGGGGAGCGAACAGG